GAGGGAAACCGAGUCUUAAUUGGGCGUUAAGUUGCAGGGUAUAGACCCGAAACCCGGUGAUCUAGCCAUGGGCAGGUUGAAGGUUGGGUAACACUAACUGGAGGACCGAACCGACUAAUGUUGAAAAAUUAGCGGAUGACCUGUGGCUGGGGGUGAAAGGCCAAUCAAACCGGGAGAUAGCUGGUUCUCCCCGAAAGCUAUUUAGGUAGCGCCUCGUGAAUUCAUCUCCGGGGGUAGAGCACUGUUUCGGCUAGGGGGCCAUCCCGGCUUACCAACCCGAUGCAAACUGCGAAUACCGGAGAAUGUUAUCACGGGAGACACACGGCGGGUGCUAACGUCCGUCGUGAAGAGGGAAACAACCCAGACCGCCAGCUAAGGUCCCAAAGUCAUGGUUAAGUGGGAAACGAUGUGGGAAGGCCCAGACAGCCAGGAUGUUGGCUUAGAAGCAGCCAUCAUUUAAAGAAAGCGUAAUAGCUCACUGGUCGAGUCGGCCUGCGCGGAAGAUGUAACGGGGCUAAACCAUGCACCGAAGCUGCGGCAGCGACACUCAGGUGUUGUUGGGUAGGGGAGCGUUCUGUAAGCCUGCGAAGGUGGCCUGUGAGGGUUGCUGGAGGUAUCAGAAGUGCGAAUGCUGACAUAAGUAACGAUAAAGCGGGUGAAAAGCCCGCUCGCCGGAAGACCAAGGGUUCCUGUCCAACGUUAAUCGGGGCAGGGUGAGUCGACCCCUAAGGCGAGGCCGAAAGGCGUAGUCGAUGGGAAACGGGUUAAUAUUCCCGUACUUGGUGUUACUGCGAAGGGGGGACGGAGAAGGCUAUGUUGGCCGGGCGACGGUUGUCCCGGUUUAAGCGUGUAGGUGUGUGUUCCAGGUAAAUCCGGUUCACUUUAACACUGAGGCGUGA
rnacentral:rRNA from 1 species